rnacentral:rRNA from 1 species
UAGGGAAUCUUCCACAAUGGACGCAAGUCUGAUGGAGCAACGCCGCGUGAGUGAAGAAGGUUUUCGGAUCGUAAAGCUCUGUUGUAAGAGAAGAACGUGUGUGAGAGUGGAAAGUUCACACAGUGACGGUAACUUACCAGAAAGGGACGGCUAACUACGUGCCAA